rnacentral:rRNA from 1 species
CUUAGGAUGAACGCUAGCGACAGGCCUAACACAUGCAAGUCAGGGGCAGCACAAGGAGCAAUCUGAGGUGGCGACCGGCGCACGGGUGAGUAACACGUAUGCAACCCUGCCUGUAAGCGGGGAAUAACCCGUUGAAAGACGGACUAAUACCGCAUAAUACUAAAUUACUGCAUGGUAAUUUAUUUAAACAUUUAUGGCUUACAGAUGGGCAUGCGCAUGAUUAGCUAGUUGGAGAGGUAACGGCUCCCCAAGGCAACGAUCAUUAGGGGUUCUGAGAGGAAGGUCCCCCACACUGGUACUGAGACACGGACCAGACUCCUACGGGAGGCAGCAGUGAGGAAUAUUGGUCAAUGGACGAGAGUCUGAACCAGCCAAGUCGCGUGCAGGAAGAAUGUCCUAUGGAUUGUAAACUGCUUUUGCAGGGGAAUAAAGUGCAUCACGUGUGAUGUUUUGUAUGUACUCUGCGAAUAAGGAUCGGCUAACUCCGUGCCAGCAGCUGC